GCCUGGGUGGCUCAGUCGGUUAAGCAUCUGACUUCGGCUCAGGUCAUGACCUCAUGGUCUGUGGGUUCGAGCCCCGCGUCAGACU
rnacentral:tRNA from 1 species